GUCCCUGUAGUACAAUGUACGGAGCGUUGGAUUUCUAAUCCAAAGGUAGUGGGUUUGAAUCCCACCUGGGAUG